rnacentral:lncRNA from 1 species
UUGGGCCCCUCCCGCGGCAUAUGGAGGUUCCCAGGCGAGGGGUUGAAUCACAGCCGUAGCCAGAGCCACAGCAACGCGGGAUCCGAGCCGCAUCUGCAACCCACACCACAGCUCACGGCAACGCCGGAUCGUUAACCCACUGAGCAAGGGCAGGGACCGAACCCGAAACCUCAUGGCUCCUAGUCAGAUUCGUUAACCACUGCGCCACGACGGGAACUCCAAGAUACCUUUAUUCAUUGAAUCCUUAAAACUAGUCCAUAAAGUAGGUUGUAUUUUCAGUAACACAUUCAAAGUCAGACUGUAAACCAGGGUUCAAACCCAGGCAGCCUGGUUCUAGAAUUAGUGUUUUUCACACCACAUUGAGUUGCCUCAUAAGGGAAGAUUAUAAAAGAAAAAUUUAAAAAGCCAUCAGAUAAUUGCCUGCAAAUUGAAGAGAUCUCAGGAAGGAAAUAAGGCUCUACUUUUGGAGAGUUCCCCAAAGACAGAUAAUAAGUCUUCUGGCCCACAAACAGGCACGCUAAUGAACUCAGUAAUGGCCUAAUUUAGGCUUUCACCAAGGCAGUAGGAAGAUGAGAGAGGUCAGGUCUGGCAACAAUACAGGGAGUCACAUUCAGAAAUGUAAGUGGAAAGAAAAGAAGUUUCCUAUCUCUGGUCUUGAGAAAAGCCACACCCAUUUCGUUUAAGGUCAAGUCCUCACCUCUAGGGUUGGCUUUGUGUCACCUCUCUUUACCCUGCCAGGAAAGCCGGACUUCUCUUAUUUUCCCCAGGGCAAUCUAAACCAGAGGGGGAGUGGAGUAAAAUGCUUUUUUGGUCUUUGGAACCCAACAGACCUGGGUUCAAAUUUUUCUGUCUGCGCUUACUUGAGGACUUAUAACCUAGCCACUGGUAAACCCUAUUAUUUACUUGUCUGUAAGAUGGAACUUUUGGUAGCACCCACCUCAGGUGACAAAGGAUAAUCCAGCAGAGCUGUUUGCACAGUGCGUGGCACUCAGUAAGAGCUUGGCCUGGGUUUUAGAAGCAACACUCCCAAAUGCUUCCAUUUCUAGUCUGGUCCAAUCAGAGACUCCACUCUCCUGCCUCCUGCUAGAGUCAUCCCUCUGAACUGAGCCACACGCCAUCACUCCUCUGCUCACAGACCCUCAGUAGCUCCCAGGACUUCGAAAAGAACAUUUCAACUCUUUCUGCUGACAAUCGAUUUGCUGCACCUCCCCCUCCAGCUGCCUGCACUCCUAGUGCCCUCUCACAUCCUGGGCUUCAGCAGCACUGAAAUGCCCGCUGCACCGCACGCCUGCCCCGUG